CUGAUAGUUUAGUUUUACAUCGUCAAAUCGUUACAUACAGAGUGUGUUUAUUCGGUAUUUCGGAUUUUUAUAGAGAUAAUUUUUUGCUUUUUGUGUACGAUGUAUAUAAACCAAUGAUGGCAUCAAACAAUUUCGCGAAAUUAAACAAAAGCUUACGAAACGUUUCUGCGAUUCAAAAUCAGGAUGAUAAUGCAUAUGAAAAUCAAUACUUUUAUGAAGACGAAAUUUUUUGCGUUGAUAACCGGGGCCGUGUUAAAUUCGGCCUAGUGCUGGAAAAUUUCGAGGUUAGCGAAGAGGAAGGAUUUGAGGAAGAUACGUUGAAACGAGGCGAAAUACGUGCUUGUUGGCAUCCUGAUGGUCUCGAAGAGAUUAUUGAACAAAAUAAGGUUGGAUUGGCCGACCGAACUCUCAUGCCAGGAGAUGUUGUGCGAAAGAUAAUUCCAGGAAAAGAUACUCAACGUGGCUACUGUCAUGAAAUAUUUGUUAGAGCUGAUGUUAAGAUUGUUGGAACAAAAUAUGUAGUUAAAAAUGUUUCUUCCGAUAGAUUGCGUCCGUUAAUGUCAAUGCCAAAGGACAAUGCUGUUUGUCUUGAUUCUUGGGUCGGAAGCACGAAAAAUAUCAAUGAAAAAUUAGUACUAAAAUCACAGUGCGGGUCACUCGUGGAAAUUCGUCCAGAUAUCGAAUAUUGUACACUUAAAGACAGUGAUACUCGGUCCCGAAGUGGUUAUUUUGCCGGUACUAUGUUUUAUCCAGGGCAAACCCUAAUUGGUCCAAUUAACGAUUUGGAAAAUGCGAAAUGGAUUAACACUUCUGCAGAAAUGAAAUUGAGUAGAAAGCACAAAAUGAUGGAUCGAAAAUUCACUGUUCAAUCGGUGGAAAUCGAAGGUAUUUGGGUUCAUUGGCAAUGCAAGGCAUCAUGUGAUGAUGUUGAAACUGAAAUGAAAGAAGGCGGUAUACAGCAGCCGCCAGACUAUGUGACUGGGGAAAAUUUGAAAAAAAUAAAAAAAUUAAACUUGUUCGAAUCGUGUAUGCUACAAAUUAACGAUAAAAACUAUUUAAAAAUCCAGUCAGGUGAUUCUUUUUGUAAGAAAAGCCAAUGGAGAAAGGAAGUUAAUUCAAAAUUUCUUAAAAUCAUCAAUAAAGAUGGAAUAAUACGGGGAUCUGGGCUAGACAACGUUUUCUGUGAUAUUGAAAAUCAUGAAACUACCGGUAAUAGUACGGUUGAGAGUAUCUCACGAGAUAAGCUAGAGUCAAAUAAUGCAAAGUUGUGCCUCACUGCCCAUAAGGAAAUAUCUCUGUCCAGUAAAUCGCGACGUAAUAUGAUAAGGUGUGGUAAUGGAAAAUCAACAUCAGCUUCUGCUACUUGUAAACUAGCUGAAAGUGAUGAAUGGCAAACGGAUUUAGAAGAUGAAGAAGACGAUGACGUCGAUGAUGGUGAGCCAACUGUUUCCGAUGGUGGAGGUAGUACUAUAUCCUCAUCUUGUUCAAGUACAACCACGUCGAAAAGUAGCCCUAAAAAGUCACCACUUCUAGCGAAAAAAAUACGAAAAUUAAAAAAAAGAUCCUCAUUUGCUAAUACAAGUGCGGAUAAACCACCUUCGGUUGGCGAUGAGCUGAUAACAGAAACCUUAGUCGUGUAUAGUACUGCAACGGUUGUGUGGCAAGAUGGCACAAUUGAAUUCGACAUUCCGUCCACAGAUCUAUGUCCAAUCCACCAUCUCGAUGAUCAUGAAUUUUUCCCCGGAGAUUUCGUGCUCUCUGGAAACACGGAUAUAUCACAUAACCCUUUAUUCCGAGAUUACGGUGUCAUCCAGAAUGUGGAUCAUCAUGGUCGCACGGCGAAAGUAAAGUGGUUCAGUACAUACACAUGCCUUAAUGAACCACAACCAAUAUAUAAUGGUGAAUCGGAGGUUAGCGUAUAUGACUUGAAAGAUCAUCCAGACUUUCAGUACCGACCAGGUACUAUUGUCAUCCGAGUGGCGAACUUUAUAGGUGAUGAUUCUAAAUGCAGUGCCGGACAGGUUAUUGAUAACUACCCAAACGGAAUGGUGAAAGUUUGGUGGGUUGAUGGUCACGUCAGCAUGUGUUGGCCGCAGGACAUCUUUGAAGUUGGACAGUAUGAUUCAGAUAACAACUUUUGGGGAAACGAAUCCGACAACAACUCAUGGGAAACUGAAGAUGAAAUAUCAGAGCUUGGAGGUUUGUCUCCCCAGCGAGUGUCAAAACCAAAACUCGCAGCUAACUUGGAACGAGCGCGAGUAGCUAUGGCUCGUUUAGAAGAGCUUUUUAUAAUUAAUCCUCAUCUUCAAAACCAAGAAAUAAUGAAAAAACUUCUGAUGGUAUAUAAAAAGUGUCGUUAUUUAGACAGACUGAUGGAUACUUCAUUUUUCCAUGAAGAUCAUUUCAUGGGUUUGGUAGAACGAGUUCGCAAAUCAAAUAAUCAAACAACGGCGGAACGAGCAUUGGAUCAGAAAAUCAGACUGUUUAAUCAGACUGGAUCAAAAACAGUAACUCCUACAGCGGAUAGUCCAGAUACGGAUCAACGACUCCCAUCGAAUAGUAAUCAGAGUCUCUCAUCCAGUGGCGGAACUAGUAUCGGAACAUCCUCAAAAAAAUGUAUUACACCAUUUGAUCAAUCAUAUAUGAGUAUUUCGCCAUCUUUCAAGUUCUCUAUAGGAAACAAUAUUUCGACAUCUUCAGAUAUUUCUAGUAUAGAAGAAAAUGCUACAGUGAUGACAAUUUCAAAACCAUCUAUAACAGGCAACGGCGUUGCAGACUCUGGAAAUUUUUCAAUUAAAAAUGUUAAAAAAUAUUGCCAGCAGAACAAUACUGUUGAGAAUGAUAAUAAUUUGUUACUAAACGCAGAGCUUGAUAAAGUGAACGAUCUUUACAUGAACAUUUGUGAAGAUAUGAAUAAUACUAACUCAGUUUUCAGUUUUCCGACACAAACAGAUAAUGUUUCUGCGAAACUCUGUUCACUUAUUAAAGCACAACUAGUGAAAGCAUUACAAGAGAUAAAUCAGCGAUUUGGUCAGGUGGAUUUGUUCAAAGAAAUCGUUAUUGAAGAAAUGCUCCUAACAACUACACCAUUUGGAUCAUGUCCGCUCUCUUCUACUCCUUCCCAACCGGAAACAAACGUUGAUAACCUGAGUCCAAGUCGAAACGAACACGACACAAUAGACGGGUCUAAUACUACACCAGACUACAACUACGAAUUUAAUUUUGUUGAAAAUUUUCAUGUUCUGGAAACAGCGCCCAGUACUCACAAGUACCAUCUUACCGUAUUUCAGACUAGUAAUGCUCAAAGCUUCUACAAAGCUGUCCAGCGGGAACAUAAGUUGUUGAGAACUGCCCUACCAUCUGGUGUAUGGGUGCGAACGUUUGAGGAUCGUUUGGAUUUGCUUAGUGUAAUGAUUGAAGGUCCAAAGAAAACUCCUUACGAAGGUGGUCUGUUCUUAUUUGAUAUUCAACUUGGACAGGAUUAUCCUAGCGCGCCUCCGUUGUGUCAUUACAUAAGCUAUUGUUCGGACCGAUUAAAUCCAAACCUGUAUGAAGAUGGUAAAGUGUGUGUGUCGCUGUUGGGAACCUGGUCCGGUAGGGGAACUGAAAUGUGGGGACCAAACAGCACGCUUCUACAAGUAAUCGUUUCUAUACAAGGUUUAAUUUUGGUGGACGAACCAUAUUUCAACGAAGCUGGAUAUGAUAAGCAGAAAGGAUCCCAACAGGGAAAAGAAAACUCGCGCAUGUAUAACGAAAUGGUGAUAUUGAAGUUGGUUCAAUCGAUGUCAAAAAUGAUUGCGAAUCCACCAGAGAUUUUUAGCGCGCAAAUAAUAGCACAUUUUCGCGAACAUGGUUUAGCUAUGCACAAUAGAAUCAAAAGUUGGAUGGACGUGUCGAUCGAAGCUAACCGAAAUGUGAACGUUAAUAGCGAAUCAUCCGCUUCAACUUUGCCUGACAGUGCUAGUAUUGUGGAUAGUGUCAAUGUAUCUAUCCUUGCAACCAGCUUACCGGACUUCCCAUUGAUUCCAGCUAGUCGUGGAUUUUGUCUCACCUUAAUUGGUUUACUAAAAAAAUUCCAGGAGAUAUUAAAUUCAAUCAGCAGUGAAUAAUCUCGAGCUGUGCCCAUUAUCCCACCGCGCCUAUACGCAGUAUAAAUAAUCACUUUUAUUUAAUAUUCACGGAUCGGCAGUACAAUCUGAUGUAUUUAAUACCAAAAGGCCUAUCUACGAGUUACAUGGUGAUUUAAUGUAAAAUCACACGUGAAAAAGGUUGCAUUUUUGUUUCAAUCAAUAGCAAAAUACCAAAGAAAAAUUACAAAAUAACGUUUGCUCAAUUGUGCAAAAUUAGAUACGUUUUCAAUGUUAACAGAAGGUCCUAUAGCAGCCCAAUUAUUGUUAUAAUAAUUUAUGUCCUGAGCUGCCUACAAUCGUAAAUAAACCGUACGUAGCCCUAGAGAAGCAUUAAAGUUUACAAUUUCUUGAGAUUAUGAAUAAUAGUUAUAAGCGUAUAAGUCUAUCUCUAACCGUUUAAAAUUUUUUAUAUUUUGCUAAACGAAAUUGACUGCAGAAGGGUUAAUGGUAUAAGAUUGUAAGUUGUCAUAGCAUGGGAGAAGGAAUGUUAGUGAGAAAGGUUACCUUAAAUGCUAAAGUUCUCUGUUAUCUACUGCUUAAAUUAAACAAUGACUUAGUAACAAUAAAAACUAAUAAAAUGCACAAUGACAAAGUCUGUGUUCUAACAACGAUGCAACUGAGAACUAUUUCGGCACAGACAUUUAAUUAUUUUUAGUAGCGAUUAACAAAUAAUAGCUUGUUUAUUCAAUCCGGGUUGAAACUAAAUGAAUUUUUUGUGUUCAUUUGCUCGUAACUGAUAGAUAAAAUUCUUCCAGU